AUUGAACGCUGGCGGCAGGCCUAACACAUGCAAGUCGAGCGGAUGAAGCGAGCUUGCUCCUGGAUUCAGCGGCGGACGGGUGAGUAAUGCCUAGGAAUCUGCCUGGUAGUGGGGGAUAACGUCCGGAAACGGGCGCUAAUACCGCAUACGUCCUGCGGGAGAAAGUGGGGGAUCUUCGGACCUCACGCUAUCAGAUGAGCCUAGGUCGGAUUAGCUAGUUGGUGGGGUAAAGGCCUACCAAGGAGACGAUCCGUAAGUGGUCUGAGAGGAUGAUCAGUCACACGGGAACUGAGACACGGUCCAGACUCCUACGGGAGGCAGCAGUGGGGAAUAUGGGACAAUAGGCGGAAGCCUUAUCCAGCCAUGCCGCGUGUGUGAAGAAGGUCUUCGGAUUGUAAAGCACUUUAAGUUGGGAGGAAGGGCAGUAAGUUAAUACCUUGCUGUUUUGACGUUACCAACAGAAUAAGCACCGGCUAACUUCGUG
rnacentral:rRNA from 1 species